UGGGGGAUAUUGCACAAUGGGCGAAAGCCUGAUGCAGCGACGCCGCGUGGGGGAUGAAGGCCUUCGGGUUGUAAACUUCUUUUGCUCUGAACAAGGCGCACCAUGGGGUGUGUUGAGUGUAGGGGUUGAUUAGCGCCGGCUAACUAUGUGCCAGCAGCCGCGGUAAUACGUAGGGCGCGAGCGUUGUCCGGAAUUAUUGGGCGUAAAGGGCUUGUAGGUGGCUGGUUGCGUCUGUCGUGAAAGCUCAUGGCUUAACUGUGGGUUUGCGGUGGGUACGGGCUGGCUUGAGUGCAGUAGGGGAGGCUGGAAUUCCUGGUGUAGCGGUGGAAUGCGCAGAUAUCAGGAGGAAUACCGGUGGCGAAGGCGGGUCUCUGGGCUGUUACUGACACUGAGGAGCGAAAGCAUGGGGAGCGAACAGG
rnacentral:rRNA from 1 species